GACGAACGCUGGCGGUGUGCUUAACACAUGCAAGUCGAACGGUAAGGCCCUUUCGGGGGUACACGAGUGGCGAACGGGUGAGUAACACGUGAGUAACCUGCCCUCAUCUCUGGGAUAACAGUCGUAAACGGUUGCUAAUACUGGAUAUGAGCUUGCAAGGCAUCUUGUGGGUUGGAAAGAUUUUUUUUGGUUGGGGAUGGACUCGCGGCCUAUCAGCUUGUUGGUGUGGUAGUGGCUCACCAAGGCUUCGACGGGUAGCCGGCCUGAGAGGGCGACCGGCCACAUUGGGACUGAGAUACGGCCCAAACUCCUACGGGAGGCAGAAGUGGGGAAUAUUGCACAAUGGACGGAAGUCUGAUGCAGCAACGCCGCGUGCGGGAUGACGGCCUUCGGGUUGUAAACCGCUUUCAAUUGUGACGAAGCUUUUUUGUGACGGUAGCAGUAGAAGAAGCACCGGCUAACUACGUG
rnacentral:rRNA from 1 species